rnacentral:rRNA from 1 species
UGCCAGCAGCCGCGGUAAUACGGAGGGUGCAAGCGUUAAUCGGAAUUACUGGGCGUAAAGCGCGCGUAGGUGGUCUGUUAAGUCGGAUGUGAAAGCCCCGGGCUCAACCUGGGAACUGCAUUCGAUACUGGCAGACUAGAGUGCGGGAGAGGGAGGUAGAAUUCCCAGUGUAGCGGUGAAAUGCGUAGAGAUUGGGAAGAACACCAGUGGCGAAGGCGCUCUACUGGACUUGUACUGACGCUGAGGGACGAAAGCUAGGGUAGCGAAAGGGAUUAGAUA